UUUCGAACACAGCCCAAGUUUAUUCAGUGCAUUAUGUAUGCUGUCUUUAUAAGAAGUUUGAGUCACGGUCCAGUUAGCACAUCUGACCAAUACUUUACGUUACUGCCAAGCGGGUUCGUUUAUAGGUUGCUGGUCUGUAUGAAAUUGCUGCCCAGUUUCCCUUUUUAUUCUGACCUCAUCCGUUCUUGACUUCCAGGGUUGACAAGAGUGAAGCUAAAACGUAUACUUCAGUGUGUCCAUUCUACUUGUAAAAUAAUAUCUAUGCUCUUUUUCGCGGUGCAUCAUGGGAUUAAGGCUGAUACUCCAUAGUAUUUAUGGUCUUGCUCUUCGAUGGUUGCACACGUUUGUCCUCUCUUAGCUUUGGAGUUCGUAAACAAAUGACAUCCUCAAACUAUGUUGAAAAGCUGGUUAAAUGUAUUGCAAACCCGAUGGAAUUCGUACAAAUAUAGAUUUGUUCCGUGGAUAGCUGUAAACAUCUGUAAAAACGAGAGAACUCUCCGGCAGGUUCCACUGUGCUCCCUGGAUAAACUGGUUUCAGAUGAGGAGGUUCUACUCAACAUUACCAAGUUGUUCAGAGCCCUCUUCAGCAGUAACCUGGGUGACCAAAGGGACAUCCUGCAGACCCUUUCCUCAUCAUCCCAGACUGACUAUCAGGCUGCUGUUGGGGAAGAGGGUCCCUCAGACCCAUGCAGAGUCAUGUUUGACACGAUGGGCUUCGCGAUUGAACGGAGGCCCAGUUCUCUCCAGUCUGCAGGGACAGGUGUGUUCGUUGUCAUGGGAACAGUGCCGAAAGGAGCCACAGUAGCCAUGUACCCAGGCACUAUUUAUCAGAGAUACGAGCCUAUCUUCUUCCAGUCGGUCUGCAAUCCAUUUAUAUUUAGAUGUAUUGAUGGUGUUUUAAUUGAUGGCAAUGACAAAGGAAUUUCUAAAGCUGUAUACAGGUCAUGCAGUGGUAGGGACCGACUAGGGCCUAUUAAGCUCAGUGACACCACGUGGCUGACUGCCAAACCUUACAACCCCCUGGCAGUGGGUCAAUAUGUGAAUAAUUGCUCAAAUGGCAAACAAAGCUGCUAACGUGUGCUAUCAGGAAUUUGAUGUAUCUACGGGAUUUCCCAUAGAACUCUGCCAGUAUCUUCCCAAUGUAAAUUAUAGAAUGGAUAUGCCAAGGCCCUUAAGAUGUGUUGUUCUCGUGGCACUGAGAGCCAUUCACCCAGGAGAGGAACUUUUCUCUAACUAUUAUACAGUUGUACAUUAGGCCAUGCUUUACUGCUUUUGUAGUUAAUAAUAAUACUAUUGUAAUAUCAUUAUAUAUAAUAACCAUGGUUGUAGAUUAUAUCAAUUUUUCCAAAGCAAUGACUUAAUCAUUUUUAACAUAUUAGCCUAGUACAUUUCUUUAUAUUACAAAGAAAGUCAUUUUGGCAGUGUUACUGUUCACUUUAAAUGCAGAGUAUAAUCUCAGUAUUAAUAUUUAUUAUGGAUCUAAAAUUCAGAGAUGUACAGCAUUAAACAUAAAUGUUUAAUGGAA